rnacentral:rRNA from 1 species
CCUACGGGGGACUGCAGUGGGGAAUAUUGGGCAAUGGGCGCAAGCCUGACCCAGCAACGCCGCGUGAAGGAAGAAGGCUUUCGGGUUGUAAACUUCUUUUAAGAGGGAAGAGCAGAAGACGGUACCUCUUGUAUAAGCCACGGCUAACUACGUGCCAGCAGCCGCGGUAAUACGUAGGGGGCAAGCGUUGUCCGGAUUUACUGGGUGUAAAGGGCGUGCAGCCGGGAAGACAAGUCAGUUGUGAAAUCCCGCGGCUCAACCGCGGAACUGCAUUUGAAACUGUUAGACUUGAGUACGGGAGAGGUCAGCGGAAUGCCUGGUGUAGCGGUGAAAUGCGUAGAUAUAAGGAAGAACACCAGUGGCGAAGGCGGAUGACUGGACGGAAACUGACGGUGAGGCGCGAAAGCGUGGGGAGCAAACAGGAUUAGAUACCCUUGUAGUC